AGCUACACGACUGGCGGAAAGCAGCAUGGGCUGCGGUGGGAUGACCCACAGGGAGUGUAGAAUAUUUAGAAGCCGACCGCCUGGGCACCAC
rnacentral:ncRNA from 1 species